AUACGGAGGGUGCAAGCGUUGUUCGGAAUUUAUUGGGCGUAAAGCGCGUGUAGGCGGUUUCUUAAGUCUGAUGUGAAAGCCCCGGGCUCAACCUGGGAAGUGCAUUGGAAACUGGGAGACUUGAGUACGGGAGAGGGUAGUGGAAUUCCUAGUGUAGGAGUGAAAUCCGUAGAUAUUAGGAGGAACACCGGUGGCGAAGGCGGCUACCUGGACCGAUACUGACGCUGAGACGACGAAAGCGUGGGGAGC
rnacentral:rRNA from 1 species